rnacentral:ncRNA from 2 species
AUAGUUAACUAGGGGCGCAUUUUGCUGAGACGGUUUUGACCGAACCCUUUGAACCUGUGAGCUAACCCUCGCGUAGGAAAGUUAUUAAAAGAGUCU